GAAAGACCUCAGGUGGAAUUCUGUCCCGGAAACAGAUCCUUCCUCUUACUGGAACCCGCCGGCUAGAUGCCAAGUUUUUUACUUUUUACAACAUGCCCAUCCUUUUACUUGAACUCACCGAGGACGCGAAUAAAACAAAGAGGAUUCAAUAUAAGCCUCAGUGUGCGUUAUAAUAAGCGCUUAUUACUGAGAGAGAUCAGAUUCUCAAGGCUGAAUUGAUGGAGAAACCACAGCAGCACUCCCAGCUCCUGUCCAGGUUUGUCCCCACCAAGCAGAAGGAUGUGCUCCGCUUCACGAUCGAUGCCUUCCUCUUCCAGAAGAAGCUGUCCAGGAAGCAUGAAGUGACUGAGCUGUACAUGCACUGUGUCAUGUCUCUGGCUCCUGCUAAAGCAACACCAGGGACCAAGUCCUGCACCUACAACAGGGAGGCUAAGAGGUGGGAGGAGCUGUAUGGUGACCAUGAGGUCUGUACCUGCUGUGAGUCCAGGUGUACUUUCCAACAGAAUGAAGGUGGGUCUGGUUCUCUUCCUCCUUGCUUCCAGAGACUCUGGGUCUCCAGCUGUAGCAGAUCCCUCACUGGUGGGUGCUGCUUGUCCACAGGUACCAGGAGCCUGGUGACCAGCAGUCGGGUGUCUGUGGCACCAGUAGAGGGUCCUCUGGGUGUGGAAGGUGACUGGACUGAGGAUGAGGAGGGAGACCCUCAGGGCUCCAGUGAAGAUGCUGAGAGCACCAGUGA
rnacentral:lncRNA from 1 species